rnacentral:rRNA from 1 species
GAUGAACGCUGGCGGCGUGCCUAAUACAUGCAAGUCGAGCGAACAGACGAGGAGCUUGCUCCUCUGACGUUAGCGGCGGACGGGUGAGUAACACGUGGAUAACCUACCUAUAAGACUGGGAUAACUUCGGGAAACCGGAGCUAAUACCGGAUAAUAUAUUGAACCGCAUGGUUCAAUAGUGAAAGACGGUUUUGCUGUCACUUAUAGAUGGAUCCGCGCCGCAUUAGCUAGUUGGUAAGGUAACGGCUUACCAAGGCAACGAUGCGUAGCCGACCUGAGAGGGUGAUCGGCCACACUGGAACUGAGACACGGUCCAGACUCCUACGGGAGGCAGCAGUAGGGAAUCUUCCGCAAUGGGCGAAAGCUUGACGGAGCAACGCCGCGUGAGUGAUGAAGGUCUUCGGAUCGUAAAACUCUGUUAUUAGGGAAGAACAAAUGUGUAAGUAACUAUGCACGUCUUGACGGUACCUAGUCAGAAAGCCACGGCUAACUACGAG